rnacentral:lncRNA from 1 species
CCCAUUUUAUGGUUAUUUCUUGAUGAUAUGCUAAACGAGGGGUGGAUUAUUCAUGUCUCCCCUUUUUAGACCAUAUAGGGUGAACAAAGAGGUGAGCAUUCUCAGAGGUCUUCUGAGAUCUAAAGAACAGGUAGGUGAGAGGCUGCCAGGCUCAGAGCAGCAAGGAAGAUAUGCCUCUGACAGAGAAGGUCUAGACAUCUGAGAUUGUGGCCUAUCUCAACCAGAUAGGGCUAGGCAGAGCGGCAAACUAUGAUGGCUAAUUGUACAUGUCCACUCAACUGGGCUAAGAGAUGCUCAGAUAGCUGGUAAGAUAAUAUUUCUGGGUGUUUCUGUGAGGAUGUCUCUGGAAGAGAUUAGCAUUUGAAUCAGAAGACUGAGUAAGGAAAAUUACCCCCACCAAUUUGGGCCAGCAUCAUCCAAUCAACUGAGGGCCCAAAUAGAACAGAGGGGUAGAGGAAGGAUGAAUUUGCUCUUUUUGCCUGAGCUGAAACAUCCAUCUUCUUCUGACUUCAGACAUCAAUGCUCCUGUUUUUCAGGCUUUGGUACUUACACCAUUUAGUCUCCUGAUUCUCAGGCCUUAGUACUUGGACUGAAUUACACCACCAGCUUCCCUGGUUCUCUAGCCUGCAGAUGGUGGAUCUUGGAACUUCUCAGCCUCCAUAACUGCGUGAGCCAAUUCCUGUAAUACAUCUCCAGUUAUAUGUGUAUAUGUAUCCUGUUUGUUCUGUUUCUCUGGAGAACUCUGACUAAUAUACGAGCCAUUGGAUGGCAUACAGAGCUGGGAACUGCUCUUCCUGUCUGUGGGAGGAGUUCAUGGAGCUGUAGGUAGCUACAGCAGGACAAGAAUGGGAGCUUUUGGGGUGCCUGUCAGGAAGAGGGGUAAAUACAAGGGACCUCUGUGAGGUGAAGCUAUAGCCAGAGAAAUAGUAUUGGGUUUGUGUUGUUGUCAACCAAUUGUAGCCCAUGCUGAAUGGCCUGAAAAAUACUGAUUACAUGUUAGAGGCCUAUCCUUCCCACCUCCCCCCAUGCCUAGAAUAGAAGCAUCUCAAUGACCAUGUUCUUUGGGAUUUUUUCAGUUUCUAGAAAUGCCUGGCUCACUGGAGGUUCUCCGUGGUUGAAUGCUGUGUUUUCAGUUGGGGAGGUGUGGACACAAGGGGAAUCCUGGACAACAUAACAAGUACCCUCUGCAGAGAUGGAGAGAAAACAUGGUGGGGUAGGCUACAGUGGCACACUGUGUCAGCUGGGGAAGAAAGGCUGAGAGGCACUGUGCCCUGAGGCUUCCAGAGGGCCAUGGGCAGGCAGGGCCUUGUGCUUCCGGGCAAGUGUGUUGAGAAGUUCAACAGACAGAUCUGGGUUUGAAUCCUACCUGGCUCUUUAUUUGCUAAGAAGUUGCUUCACCUUUGAACUUCACUUUCUCCAUCUGGGAAAUAGAAAUGGUCAUACUUACCACCAUGGGAUUAAUGUGAGCAUUCAAAGGAAGAAUAUUCUCAAAGGACCGAUCAAGUGACAGGCAAAGAGUAAGCACCCAAUAUCUGCCAGCUGUUGUUCUGAUUUAGGACAAAGUCUUCUCUCCAGGGAUGUUUACGUCCCAAAAUGAUUACUUCUCCUGGUUGAUAAUUAUGCUGGACCAGAUGAUUGCAUUUAUGAACAUUCUAGAAGGUGGGUCAACCUUGAUGAUGUUCUGAUAAAGACCCUGGGUUGGAGAGAUCCUGUAGUGAGUCAGUCUGGGCAUUGAGGAAAUAAGUUCUUACAUUUUUGCCCACAUGAAUGUCUUUGAGGUGCCCCCAGCCAAAUGGAGACUUUUCAGGAAAUUUACUAAGAUCCAUAGUACAUGUUACCUAAUGUCUUUCUCAUAACAGAUAUGGUUUACUGAGUAUUUGUUAUGUAGAAGACACUGGACCAAGUAGACAACUUUGGAACCCCCGCCCUGUCCACAAUGAUGCCCCUUCUCUGAGAACUGCUCUGCCUGUCCCACCUCCUGCAUAGGGGUGAUGGGCUCCUGCCAGUCAUAAUUGUGAUAUAUAAACCAUACCCCAGCCAAGGUGGGCUUUCCAGGUCCAUUGAGUCACCAAUUGAAACCAAGUCCAUCUUCAUCCUAGGAAGUUGGCACUGAGUCUUCGAGCAGCUGCAUGUGUGACUGGAACUGAAGCACAAAAGCUCAGCGACUGUGGGACAGACAUAUUGUGUCACAUGAAGAGAGGAACAAUUGAUAAACAGAGUAAAACAAAACUAGUGGACAGGGAGAGGUGAGGAGAUUGAAAGAGGGCACCAAGAAAUGUAAUUGCAGUGCAUCAUUGCAUUAAACUGGGAAGAGCCUUAUGAAUCAACUCUUCCUUGGAUCUGGAAAGCAUGUUGUUCAUUAUCUGCCAGCACCUAUAAAAGAGAAAUGAGUAGAACCUGCUCAUUCAUCAGUUGAAUUGCUGUGCUACUUUCUCCAAGGUUCCUUUACAAGCCUAGUACUUACUCCCUAAACAGUGUUUGACAAAAGUGGGUGUGCACACCAUCUGAAUUGAUUCCCUCCCCGCCACCUGCCACUGCAGAGUUCUUAUAGUCCCAGCAUGCUCCAAACCCUGAGAAUAGCUAAAUUAUGAUAGUUAUAUUGCUUUUCAUAUCAGCCUUCUAAUAAUCUUUUUCUUUUCCUUUUUUUCUUUUCUUUUUUUUUUUUUUUUUGAGACAAAAUUUUGCUCUGUCACCCAGGCUGGAAUGCAGUGGUACGACUUCGGCUCACUGCAAUCUCAGUCUCCUAGGAUCAAGCGAUUCUCAUACGUCAGCCUCCCGAGUAGCUGGGAUUACAGGCAUGCGCCACCACGCCCAGCUAAUUUUUUGUAUUUUUAGUAGAGAUGGGGUUUCGCCAUUUUGGCCAAGCUGGUCUCGACCUCCUGACCUCAAGUGAUCUGACCACCUUGGCCUCCCAAAGUGCUGGGAUUACAGGCAUGAGCUACCACACCCAGCCUUUUUCUAUUUAAAGGAUAAAAACCUAUCCCUUUUUGUAGGAAACACAAAAAACACUUCACUCACAUAUAACAUGUCACACAUACCCUUGCAGUGGGAGAAUGUCUAGAGGCAACCAAGGAUUCCAUCCACUGGAGCCCCACGCUAUUCAUCACAUUUCCAUCUACCCAUUGUCUCUCCAAGUUAAUUCUCCCAGUUAAUAACUGAUAUUGUACAGAUUGUUAAAAUUGAUUCUAAGCAAUGUCCACUCUGGAAAGGAAAUGUGUUAUAUAUGGAGAAAGAGAUGAAUCAGUUUGCAAAUUCCCAACUCAUCGAGUAUCAGAUAAAUGAAAAUGCUGAGACUUUGGAGUUGCAAAAGCCUGGAUUUUGAGCCUCAAAAUGUGCAAAAUAUAUUCCAUGUUCUGAUUAUCUAUUGCUGCAUAAAACAUUACACCAAAAUUCAGUAGCUUAAAACAGUCAUUUAAAUUUGCUCACAAUUUCGUGGUUUGGGAAUUGGGAAGGGCUCGGCUGAGUGAUUCUUGCCUCAGGUCUUUCAUGAAGUGUCAGUCAGAUGUUGACUGGAACAGGAACCAACCGAAGGCUUGUGUGUGCUGAGCAUCUGAGAGGCUUCCUCAUAGGCUGGCAAUGGAUGCUGCCUUUUGGCUAAGAGCUCAGCUGGAGCUCUUGACUAAAGUACUCAUCUGUGGCCUCUGGACAUUGCUUGGGCUUCUCACAGCCAUGGUGGCUGGGUCCUGGAGGAAGCAUGUGGAGAGUGAGUGUUUAGAGACCAAAGCAGAAACUGCAAGACUUCUUCUGAUCUAGCUUCAAAAGUCACACGGUGGUAUUGUCAUCAUACUGUUGGUACUGUUGGUUUUAAGUAAGUCACCAAGGUCAGCCCAGACCCAAGGGGAGGGAAUUAUACCCCACCUCUCUUUAGGAGAAAGGCCAAAGAAUUUACUGCUAUUUCCAAUCAGCAAGUGCCAAAAACAAAUGAUUUAGAAGAAUUGGUGAACAGUGUAGCUACCCUCUGGAAAUGAGGUAGAGGAAGAGAGUUACAGGGGGAAGAAAGAGACUGUAGACACUCAAGUUGAUAGGAAACCCUUCUCUUUUCUCACAUCAGACUCAUCAAAUUUUGGAGGAGGCAGAUAAGACAUGCCAGGCUCCCAGUACAGUUUAGGGUAUCUGAGACCAUGGGAAACAUUGUAUUACUUCUUGAAAACUCAGAUGACUCACUAGCAUUAAGUAGAAAUGCCUGGGUGCUGUGCCUAGGCUGAUAGGCUUGAGACAGCCUCAGAGCUCUCCUUGUUCCAGCAAUGUACAGUUCCAAAUGAAACAGACCUGGUGGUGUUAAUGAAGUGGGUAUUGCAGUCAUCUGCAAAGACUAUCACCUAGAGACUAGAUGGGAAUGAGAAUGUCUUGGCAGGCUCCUGUGUGGACAGAUGUCUGUUGAGGACAGGAUAGGAACUUAGAUGGAACCCUAGAAAAAAUUGAGCAUGUGUGUUGGGGAAGAGACCCAACAGAUUUAGUUGGGUUAAAUUUGGUUUAUGUUACCUGAUGAAAUGGGACUCAAAAUAGAAAUUAAACUCAGUUUUAGAAAUAUAUUUGUGAACUGACUCAUCUCUCUCUCCACAUAGAACACAAUGUUUCGCUUUCAGAGUGGACAUUGCUUAGAAUCAAUUUUAAUAAUCUGUAAAAUAUCAAUUAAAAAAAGAAAAUAAGCCACACAACAAAUGCAUUUAUAUCAUAGGGAGCAGAGGGAAUAUUGUCUUGUUUUGUAUUCAAAAGUCUGUUCUUCACAACAAAACUCAGUUUUAGAAAUAUACAGUCUUGCACACUUGAAUUUGUGAACCAAUUCGUCUCUCUUUCCAUUUAUAACACAAUGUUUCCUUUCCAGAGUGGACAUUGCUUAUAAUCAAUUUUAACAAUCUGUACAAUAUCAAUUAUAAAAAAAAGUAAGCUGCACAACAAAUGCAUUUAUAUUACAAGGAGCAGAGGGAAUAUUAUCUUGUUUUGUAUUAAAAAGUCUGUUCUUCACAACGAUAUCUGAGGCUCUGAGAGAUCUGAGUUUUAGAAUCCCAGAAAGAUGGCCUGAAUAAGAUUUAUUCUGAAAAAGCAAGACUGACAAUGUUUGAAGCUUUUCUAAAUCUUAAAUUCUAAAUCCAAGUGUCUAGCUUUAUUGCCUGGAUUAAAUAUUUCAAGUCAAAAUGUCCUGACUUUUAGGGGCUUUUAUUGAGUGUUUCUCUCCUAAAAUAAAAUGAAGCUAGGUUAUGAGUGGGUCAUCUUCAAAAAGAUGUAUUAUCAUUCUGAUAAUUUGAAGAACAUACAAUUAUAUAAAAGUACAAAUCAAAACUAAGUAAUUUAUAUGAAACGACUUCAAUUAACCAUGUAACCAAAAAAGAGCUACAAAGAAUUCAAAUAAGCUAAGUGCAACGUCUCAGGCCUGUAAUCCCAGCACUUUGGGAGACCAAUGCGGGCAGAUCACUUGAGCCCAGGACUUUGACACCAGCCUGGCCAACAUGGUGAAACCCUGUCUCUACAGAAAAAAUACAAAAAUUGGCCAGGUGUGGUGGUGAGUGCCAGUAGUCCCAGCUACUAGGGAGGCUGAGGUGGAUCACUUGAGCACAGGAGGAUCUCUUACGGCAGAGGCUGCAGUAAGCCAUAAUCACACCACUGUACUCUAGCCUGAGUGUCAGAGUGAGACCCUAUCCACUCCCCCCCAAAAAAAUUCAAAUAAACUCAAAAUGAAAGUUUGAAACAUGAGAAACAGACUGCUAAUUUAUUUAGAAAUAUAUUUUUCAUAGUGUGUGUUCAUAUGUCUAUUAUUCUAAAAAUUAUUUAUACAUCUAGAAUAGAAUGGCAAAUCUCUAGCCUAUUCAUUCAAAUUAGUAUCUAUUAUUGAUUUGAGGUGAGAGAAUAAUGAGAGUAUUUAGCUAUAACUGAAUAAAUCAGGUUAAUUCAUUUUAAAUCAUUUUAGUUGUGAUUUUGGCUUUAAUGUAAGCUCUCGCUUUAUUUUAAGCUUAGGAUAAAUUGAAAAUAAUUCUC